GAUGAAGAAGGCCUUCGGGUUGUAAAGUUCUUUCGUGGGGGACGAAAAGGCGGAUCCGAAUACGGUCUGCUAUUGACGUGAACCCAAGAAGAAGCACCGGCUAACUCCGUGCCAGCAGCCGCGGUAAUACGGAGGGUGCGAGCGUUAAUCGGAAUCACUGGGCGUAAAGGGCGCGUAGGCGGUUGGUUACGUCUGCCGUGAAAUCCCCGGGCUCAACCUGGGAAUGGCGGUGGAAACGGGCUGACUAGAGUAUGGGAGAGGGUGAUGGAAUUCCAGGUGUAGCGGUGAAAUGCGUAAAGAUCUGGAGGAACAUCAAUGGCGAAGGCGGUCACCUGGCCCAAUACUGACGCUGAGGCGCGAAAGCGUGGGGAGCAAACAGGAUUAGAUACCCUGGUAGUCCACGCCCUAAACGAUGGAUACUAGAUGUUUGGUGCCUAAGGUGCUGAGUGUCCUAGCUAACGUGAUAAGUAUCCCGCCCGGGAAGUACUUCCCCGAGGUUAAAACUCAAAUGAAUUGACGGUUG
rnacentral:rRNA from 1 species